GUUUUUGUGGCUCAAUGGUAGAGCGUCCGACUACUGUGGACCACUUUGCGGAAGGUCACAGGUUCGACUCCAGUUUGUAAAACU